GACGAACGCUGGCGGCGUGCCUAAUACAUGCAAGUCGAGCGCAGGAAGCCGUCUGAACCCUUCGGGGGGACGACGGUGGAAUGAGCGGCGGACGGGUGAGUAACACGUAAAGAACCUGCCCAUAGGUCUGGGAUAACCACGAGAAAUCGGGGCUAAUACCGGAUGUGUCAUCGGACCGCAUGGUCCGCUGAUGAAAGGCGCUCCGGCGUCGCCCAUGGAUGGCUUUGCGGUGCAUUAGCUAGUUGGUGGGGUAACGGCCCACCAAGGCGACGAUGCAUAGCCGACCUGAGAGGGUGAUCGGCCACACUGGGACUGAGACACGGCCCAGACUCCUACGGGAGGCAGCAGUAGGGAAUCUUCCACAAUGGACGAAAGUCUGAUGGAGCAACGCCGCGUGAACGAUGAAGGCUUUCGGGUCGUAAAGUUCUGUUGUAAGGGAAGAACAAGUGCCGCAGGCAAUGGCGGCACCUUGACGGUACCUUGCGAGAAAGCCACGGCUAACUACGUGCCAGCCGCCGCAGUAAAAC
rnacentral:rRNA from 1 species